rnacentral:rRNA from 1 species
UACAGAGGGGGCGAGCGUUGUUCGGAAUUACUGGGCGUAAAGGGCGCGUAGGCGGCCAACUAAGUCGGACGUGAAAUCCCCUGGCUCAACCAGGGAACUGCGUCCGAUACUGAUUGGCUUGAAUCCGGGAGAGGGAUGUGGAAUUCCAGGUGUAGCGGUGAAAUGCGUAGAUAUCUGGAGGAACACCGGUGGCGAAGGCGGCAUCCUGGACCGGUAUUGACGCUGAGGCGCGGAAGCCAGGGGAGCAAACGGG